GGACGAACCCUUGGAGAGAUCCAAUGUGCUUAGCACAAAAUGGACGCCGAAGGCGCAAAAGUGCGGUCAAUUUUGACCGAUUUUCUUGAAACGCUCAGGCAAAAGGACAGGGGCAAGAGA
rnacentral:ncRNA from 2 species